CUGUAGUGCGCUACGCCAAUCAGGUGUCAGCACUAAGUCCGGCAUUGAUAUGGUGACCUCCCGGGAGCGGCGGGGGCUUGGGGGGGGGGGCACCAGGUUCCUAAGGAGGGGUGAACCAGCCCAGGUCAGAAACAGAGCAGGUCAAAACUCCCGUGCUGAUCAGUAGCGGGGUCGCACCUGUGAAUAGCCACUGCAG
rnacentral:SRP_RNA from 1 species